UGAUGAAUCAUUCCUUUUCUCACACACAUUCUUUGGAAGGCUGAGCAGAAUGAGUGAACUCAAUACCGUUGUUCUCAAAAUCGUAGUGA